rnacentral:tRNA from 1 species
GGGCGGCAGCCCAAGGCUUUGAAAUGGUAGAGCGCUCGCUUCACACGCGAGAGGUCACUGGUUCGAACCCAGUAUCGCCCA